rnacentral:rRNA from 3 species
ACGAACUCUGGUAUUGAUUGGUGCUUGCAUCAUGAUUUACAUUUGAGUGAGUGGCGAACUGGUGAGUAACACGUGGGAAACCUGCCCAGAAGCGGGGGAUAACACCUGGAAACAGAUGCUAAUACCGCAUAACAACUUGGACCGCAUGGUCCGAGUUUGAAAGAUGGCUUCGGCUAUCACUUUUGGAUGGUCCCGCGGCGUAUUAGCUAGAUGGUGGGGUAACGGCUCACCAUGGCAAUGAUACGUAGCCGACCUGAGAGGGUAAUCGGCCACAUUGGGACUGAGACACGGCCCAAACUCCUACGGGAGGCAGCAGUAGGGAAUCUUCCACAAUGGACGAAAGUCUGAUGGAGCAACGCCGCGUGAGUGAAGAAGGGUUUCGGCUCGUAAAACUCUGUUGUUAAAGAAGAACAUAUCUGAGAGUAACUGUUCAGGUAUUGACGGUAUUUAACCAGAAAGCCACGGCUAACUACGUGCCAGCAGCCGCGGUAAUACGUAGGUGGCAAGCGUUGUCCGGAUUUAUUGGGCGUAAAGCGAGCGCAGGCGGUUUUUUAAGUCUGAUGUGAAAGCCUUCGGCUCAACCGAAGAAGUGCAUCGGAAACUGGGAAACUUGAGUGCAGAAGAGGACAGUGGAACUCCAUGUGUAGCGGUGAAAUGCGUAGAUAUAUGGAAGAACACCAGUGGCGAAGGCGGCUGUCUGGUCUGUAACUGACGCUGAGGCUCGAAAGUAUGGGUAGCAAACAGGAUUAGAUACCCUGGUAGUCCAUACCGUAAACGAUGAAUGCUAAGUGUUGGAGGGUUUCCGCCCUUCAGUGCUGCAGCUAACGCAUUAAGCAUUCCGCCUGGGGAGUACGGCCGCAAGGCUGAAACUCAAAGGAAUUGACGGGGGCCCGCACAAGCGGUGGAGCAUGUGGUUUAAUUCGAAGCUACGCGAAGAACCUUACCAGGUCUUGACAUACUAUGCAAAUCUAAGAGAUUAGACGUUCCCUUCGGGGACAUGGAUACAGGUGGUGCAUGGUUGUCGUCAGCUCGUGUCGUGAGAUGUUGGGUUAAGUCCCGCAACGAGCGCAACCCUUAUUAUCAGUUGCCAGCAUUAAGUUGGGCACUCUGGUGAGACUGCCGGUGACAAACCGGAGGAAGGUGGGGAUGACGUCAAAUCAUCAUGCCCCUUAUGACCUGGGCUACACACGUGCUACAAUGGAUGGUACAACGAGUUGCGAACUCGCGAGAGUAAGCUAAUCUCUUAAAGCCAUUCUCAGUUCGGAUUGUAGGCUGCAACUCGCCUACAUGAAGUCGGAAUCGCUAGUAAUCGCGGAUCAGCAUGCCGCGGUGAAUACGUUCCCGGGCCUUGUACACACCGCCCGUCACACCAUGAGAGUUUGUAACACCCAAAGUCGGUGGGGUAACCUUUUAGG